UCUGGAGAUUCCUGCUUCUCUGAGGAUCUUAUAGGCCUUCUACAGAUUUUUCUUUCUGAAAUUCGUGUCACAAAACAAUAACAUACACAAGCCUAACCCCUGCCAAAACAUUUUUGGUCUCGUGUAAAGAUGAUGAAGUGCAUGGAAGAUCUUCUUUAACUUCAACAUCCAAUUAGGGUUGUACUACUGCAUCACAUACAAGAGAAUAUCUGGUAUUGAGGAUGAGGAAGAGUGAGAUAAAUAAACCAAGAUACCGAAGACUUCAAAUUAUUAAUUUGCUUUGGUGGAUUUGGACUAUCUAGAUGAGAAUAAGUGACUGUCUUGCUGCAGGUCAAAAUUGCCAUAAUGAAACCCUUUUAAACAUAAUACUCUGUCAUAACUUUCUUUUCUAUUCUAUUUGUGUGUUGGACUAAAUAGACUUUUUUUUUUUAUGUUAUUGCUUGGAAGAAUACAGAACUAUUGCCCUCCUCACUGACACCAGUCUUUUGCUAUCAUAGACAGCUAAGGCUUUCUGUUCAGAUCUCUAAAACACUGUUGAGCCUUCUGCAUGUGCUGUUUUUGAGAGGCCACAAUAGGGUUCAGUAUCAUGAGAAAAUACGUUGUUUCUAUUGAUGUGAAUAUUCUACUAUCACAGAUAUGGAUAUCAACUAAUUUGGUUUUCGUUAUGUCAAUGGUCUUGAGGACUUUAUAAAUAAAGAAAUGGCAAACUGUUAUAAUAGUUUAUUCAAACAAAAUACGUCAAUAUUAUUUCCUAGUGAGAAAUGAUUGGGUGACUGGCAUACAUACUAAUUCAUACACUAUUAAAAUAAGAUUUUGCCUAAGUUAAUCUCAAGAUAUGGGUCCAAAAAAAUCUUUUUUUCUUGGAGUAUCUAUCAGUUAUGUGGUUGUUGUAUUUUUGUUGUUGUUGUUUUGGUGCGGUUGUUGUGGUUGUUUUUGGUUGGUUGAUAUUUUAAUAAUUUAUGAUUUUACUUCUGUUUAAAAUAGAAAUUAAGCUUUGAAAGGCUUUGGAUAUAUAUAUAUAUAUUACAUAAUUGCUUUUUCAUUUUUUUUUUAGUAUAUUGUUUUAUUGUUUAAAAGAAUACAAUGUAACUGAAAAGGCCCAAAAUAACUAAUAAACUUACCCUACUUGUUACUU
ensembl:lncRNA